UGGGCUCUGCAGGAUCUGCCCCUCAGCAGCCCAAGAGCCAUUAGCGCUGCUGCUCUUAUUAUUUAUAAGGAACUCUAUAAAGGCUUUGCAGAACCUGCAGUCAGUACGGUCUGAUUCACCAGUAUAACAAAAUGCUAAAAACAAGGGUGUAAAUCUGAGUCACGCUUACCAACAGAGCAAAAAGCUUGGAUAUUUGUUACAAGACCGGCUGCCAGCACCUGCAGCAGAUGACACGUCUUCACCUCGAACAGAAAUAAAUUGGACAAAAUCAUCCCCAGCU
rnacentral:lncRNA from 1 species